rnacentral:lncRNA from 1 species
ACACAUCAUUUCAUUUCGUUUUACCAAUGGUAACACAUAGCUGACAUCCUCACCUUGUGGCCCACUAAGAACACGAGCUUCUUGUUGGACUUGUGCUCCAUAACCAUCCUUCUUGUACAACCCACCAAGGGGAGUCUACUGGAGUAGGGGUAAGGAGACCAGGAAGUCUUAGUUCCAGAGGACUGUGAUGUCACAGAAAGCCUUUUAGGAGCUGUCUUUCUGUCUCUCUGAUCCAGAGUUUACCUCUGCCCUUUAUUCCUCUUACAAAGGACAAGUGGCCAAAGACAUAAUGUUCUUGCCUACCACUCCAAUCACCUCCCAAUCCUAUAGGAGAACAGGGGAAAGUUCUGAGAGUAGUCAGCUUUUAUAAAAGACAACCAAGCUUCUACAUUUGCCACCCCUCAAGCCCCAAACCCUGGGAAGAACAAAAGGAAAAGAAAUUGGCACCAUAUCAGAGCUAAUUUUCCAAAAUCCAAUUCCACUCACUGGCAAAUAGGACUUCAGAGACCAAGAAUAGAAGGAAGAUGGGGGUCUGCAAUGCUCCAAUUCCACUUCUCCCUGAUCCUUUUGAAUCUAAAACCUAAAGGAGACCAAAUAAGGUUAAAAUUAAUCUCUGAGGUUUGGGGAAGAGAGAAGAUGACAGCCCCUGGAAGGCAGAAAGGCUACUCAGAUAAACUCAAGUCAGCACCAUCAGUGGAAGCUGACUUCCAGGAAAAUAAAGGUAAUACUGGC